GUUAUCACCUGCCAGAACCAACCAAUCUUCCAGAUAGAACAGAGAAUUCUCGAGAACUCUACAAUUUGCGUUUGCUUUAUAUCUAAAAAUCUUUCUAUUUCUUUCCUUCCAUAAACUCCACAUGACUGAAAUUGAAAGAAUGUCCCAAGCUAAAUUGGGAAAGAAACUUGGAAGAUUGUUUCGUCACUCCAUCCACAGUGUGGUG
rnacentral:lncRNA from 1 species